AUUGAACGCUGGCGGCAGGCCUAACACAUGCAAGUCGAGCGGUAGAGAGAAGCUUGCUUCUCUUGAGAGCGGCGGACGGGUGAGUAAUGCCUAGGAAUCUGCCUGGUAGUGGGGGAUAACGUUCGGAAACGAACGCUAAUACCGCAUACGUCCUACGGGAGAAAGCCGGGGACCUUCGGGCCUUGCGCUAUCAGAUGAGCCUAGGUCGGAUUAGCUAGUUGGUGAGGUAAUGGCUCACCAAGGCGACGAUCCGUAACUGGUCUGAGAGGAUGAUCAGUCACACUGGAACUGAGACACGGUCCAGACUCCUACGGGAGGCAGCAGUGGGGAAUAUUGGACAAUGGGCGAAAGCCUGAUCCAGCCAUGCCGCGUGUGUGAAGAAGGUCUUCGGAUUGUAAAGCACUUUAAGUUGGGAGGAAGGGCAUUAACCUAAUACGUUAGUGUUUUGACGUUACCGACAGAAUAAGCACCGGCUAACUCUGUG
rnacentral:rRNA from 1 species